rnacentral:lncRNA from 1 species
UCAACAGUGAGUUCCGAUGCUCCAACUACAAAUUCAGGGAGCCGACCAGUCGUGAACCCAUCUGCUGCCAAUCCCUCUUACAGUUUUUCGCCAUCAUUUCUCCUGGCUGUACUAGGAGCUACAUUGUUUAAGUACUAUUACUAGUUGAUUAAGCCUUUUAUGUUGUUUUGUAAGAAAUAUUCUUGGGGUCUGGGGGAUUUGAGUGGAUUUUUUUUUUAAUUUUGUGAUUCGUGUUGCUGUAAUUGAUAUUAGAUACUUAUUCUUUGGGUUAGGGGAGUGAUUUUAUUGUUUUUGGAUUGUUCAAAUUAUUCGAGUAUUAUGGUUGAAUUGAUUCACUGAAUAGUAUUAUUGCCUCUUUCGAAUACAUUUAUUGUUCUUGAUG